rnacentral:rRNA from 1 species
GCCAUGCCGCGUGUGUGAAGAAGGCCUUCGGGUUGUAAAGCACUUUCAGUUGUGAGGAAAGGUUGGUAGUUAAUACCUGCCAGCUGUGACGUUAACAACAGAAGAAGCACCGGCUAACUCCGUGCCAGCAGCCGCGGUAAUACGGAGGGUGCGAGCGUUAAUCGGAAUUACUGGGCGUAAAGCGGACGCAGGCGGUUUGUUAAGCUAGAUGUGAAAGCCCCGGGCUCAACCUGGGAUGGUCAUUUAGAACUGGCAGACUAGAGUCUUGGAGAGGGGAGUGGAAUUCCAGGUGUAGCGGUGAAAUGCGUAGAUAUCUGGAGGAACAUCAGUGGCGAAGGCGACUCCCUGGCCAAAGACUGACGCUCAUGUCCGAAAGUGUGGGUAGCGAACAGGAUUAGAUACCCUGGUAGUCCACACCGUAAACGCUGUCUACUAGCUGUGUGUGAAUUUAAUUCGUGCGUAGCGAAGCUAACGCGCUAAGUAGACCGCCUGGGGAGUACGGCCGCAAGGUUAAAACUC